CCUACGGAGGCUGCAGUGAGGAAUAUUGGUCAAUGGACGAGAGUCUGAACCAGCCAAGUAGCGUGAAGGAUGACUGCCCUAUCGGUUGUAAACUUCUUUUAUCAAGGAAUAAAACGAGGCACGUGUGCCUUUUUCCAUGUUCUCUAUGAAUAAGGAUCGGCUAACUCCGUGCCAGCAGCCGCGGUAAUACGGAGGAUCCGAGCGUUAUCCGGAUUUAUUGGGUUUAAAGGGAGCGUAGAUGGGUUGUUAAGUCAGUUGUGAAAGUUUGCGGCUCAACCCUAAAAUGGCAAGUGAUACUGGCAGUCUUGAGUACAGUUGAGGUAAGCGGAAUGCGUGGUGUAGCGGUGAAAUGCUUAGAUAUCACGAAGAACCCCGAUUGCGAAGGCAGCUUACUAAACUGUGACUGACAUUGAUGCUCGAAAGUGUGGGUAUCAAACAGGAUUAGAUACCCGGGUAGUC
rnacentral:rRNA from 1 species